UACAGUUUUGACAGUGCAACAGAUGCUUAACUGAGCCAGCUUUCAUAUUUAGUACAAUCAUGCAUAUAACAAGCUUUAUCACCUCAUAUUAUUCAUAGAAAUACACUUAAAAUACAUAAAUGCAUGUUUUUUUCUUCAUUGUAUAUCUAUUUCUAUUGGGUAUUUUGACUUUUUCAGGUAGAGGAAUGUCUGCAACUAAGCCGAGGGCCACUGGAUAAGGGUUGUUGAUGGUAAAACAGAUUGGAGACUACAUAAGACUUUGACAGAUGGCGGGAAACCCUCAUGAACUGGAUAGAAGCCGGCAAAAUGGCAUGCUGAGCCUUACGCAGAGUUGUAUGUGAGAGCAAGGAACGACAACUCUGCGUGGAGAUUGGGCGGCGACGUCCCUGCAGAGACGAGGAUUUUUCGACGUUUUAUACCCUUUAUAACUUGUAUU